rnacentral:tRNA from 1 species
GGGGCCGUAGUCUAGCUUGGUCUAGGACGCCACCUUGGGGAAGGAACAAAAUGGUGGUAACCCGAGUUCAAAUCUCGGCGGCCCCA